rnacentral:rRNA from 1 species
GGUUAACCGAAUAGGGGAGCCGAAGGGAAACCGAGUCUUAACUGGGCGUUAAGUUGCAGGGUAUAGACCCGAAACCCGGUGAUCUAGCCAUGGGCAGGUUGAAGGUUGGGUAACACUAACUGGAGGACCGAACCGACUAAUGUUGAAAAAUUAGCGGAUGACUUGUGGCUGGGGGUGAAAGGCCAAUCAAACCGGGAGAUAGCUGGUUCUCCCCGAAAGCUAUUUAGGUAGCGCCUCGUGAAUUCAUCUCCGGGGGUAGAGCACUGUUUCGGCAAGGGGGUCAUCCCGACUUACCAACCCGAUGCAAACUGCGAAUACCGGAGAAUGUUAUCACGGGAGACACACGGCGGGUGCUAACGUCCGUCGUGAAGAGGGAAACAACCCAGACCGCCAGCUAAGGUCCCAAAGUCAUGGUUAAGUGGGAAACGAUGUGGGAAGGCCCAGACAGCCAGGAUGUUGGCUUAGAAGCAGCCAUCAUUUAAAGAAAGCGUAAUAGCUCACUGGUCGAGUCGGCCUGCGCGGAAGAUGUAACGGGGCUAAACCAUGCACCGAAGCUGCGGCAGCGACGCUGAUGCGUUGUUGGGUAGGGGAGCGUUCUGUAAGCCUGUGAAGGUGUGCUGUGAGGCAUGCUGGAGGUAUCAGAAGUGCGAAUGCUGACAUAAGUAACGAUAAAGCGGGUGAAAAGCCCGCUCGCCGGAAGACCAAGGGUUCCUGUCCAACGUUAAUCGGGGCAGGGUGAGUCGACCCCUAAGGCGAGGCCGAAAGGCGUAGUCGAUGGGAAACAGGUUAAUAUUCCUGUACUUGGUGUUACUGCGAAGGGGGGACGGAGAAGGCUAUGUUGGCCGGGCGACGGUUGUCCCGGUUUAAGCGUGUAGGCUGGUUUUCCAGGCAAAUCCGGAAAACUAAGGCUGAGGCGUGAUGACGAGGCACUACGGUGCUGAAGCAACAAAUGCCCUGCUUCCAGGAAAAGCCUCUAAGCAUCAGGUAACAUCAAAUCGUACCCCAAACCGACACAGGUGGUCAGGUAGAGAAUACCAAGGCGCUUGAGAGAACUCGGGUGAAGGAACUAGGCAAAAUGGUGCCGUAACUUCGGGAGAAGGCACGCUGAUAUGUAGGUGAAGUCCCUCGCGGAUGGAGCUGAAAUCAGUCGAAGAUACCAGCUGGCUGCAACUGUUUAUUAAAAACACAGCACUGUGCAAACACGAAAGUGGACGUAUACGGUGUGACGCCUGCCCGGUGCCGGAAGGUUAAUUGAUGGGGUCAGCGCAAGCGAAGCUCUUGAUCGAAGCCCCGGUAAACGGCGGCCGUAACUAUAACGGUCCUAAGGUAGCGAAAUUCCUUGUCGGGUAAGUUCCGACCUGCACGAAUGGCGUAAUGAUGGCCAGGCUGUCUCCACCCGAGACUCAGUGAAAUUGAACUCGCUGUGAAGAUGCAGUGUACCCGCGGCAAGACGGAAAGACCCCGUGAACCUUUACUAUAGCUUGACACUGAACAUUGAGCCUUGAUGUGUAGGAUAGGUGGGAGGCUUUGAAGUGUGGACGCCAGUCUGCAUGGAGCCGACCUUGAAAUACCACCCUUUAAUGUUUGAUGUUCUAACGUUGACCCGUAAUCCGGGUUGCGGACAGUGUCUGGUGGGUAGUUUGACUGGGGCGGUCUCCUCCUAAAGAGUAACGGAGGAGCACGAAGGUUGGCUAAUCCUGGUCGGACAUCAGGAGGUUAGUGCAAUGGCAUAAGCCAGCUUGACUGCGAGCGUGACGGCGCGAGCAGGUGCGAAAGCAGGUCAUAGUGAUCCGGUGGUUCUGAAUGGAAGGGCCAUCGCUCAACGGAUAAAAGGUACUCCGGGGAUAACAGGCUGAUACCGCCCAAGAGUUCAUAUCGACGGCGGUGUUUGGCACCUCGAUGUCGGCUCAUCACAUCCUGGGGCUGAAGUAGGUCCCAAGGGUAUGGCUGUUCGCCAUUUAAAGUGGUACGCGAGCUGGGUUUAGAACGUCGUGAGACAGUUCGGUCCCUAUCUGCCGUGGGCGCUGGAGAACUGAGGGGGGCUGCUCCUAGUACGAGAGGACCGGAGUGGACGCAUCACUGGUGUUCGGGUUGUCAUGCCAAUGGCACUGCCCGGUAGCUAAAUGCGGAAGAGAUAAGUGCUGAAAGCAUCUAAGCACGAAACUUGCCCCGAGAUGAGUUCUCCCUGACUCCUUGAGAGUCCUGAAGGAACGUUGAAG